GGGUAUAUAGCUCAAGUAGUAGAGCACGUGCUUAGCGUGCAUGAGGUCCUGGGUUCAACCCCCAGUAUCUCCU
rnacentral:tRNA from 1 species